UAAUAAAUAUUACAAUACUUUCCAUGUAAAGUAAAGUAGACCCAUACACAUUGUUUUGUUGUUAUUUUAUUCAAUUUUUGUUAUUUUGUUUGUUUCAAUGCAGAUGGAAAAACACUUGGUGGAAGACACAUCCUCCAUGCAAGUGUUGACUGGACAUUUUUGAAAGUUUUCACCUCAGUUUUGCUUCCAGUUUUCUUUUUAACAUGCAUAACAUCACUGUUGCUCAAAGGUAAGUCUCACUAUUUUUGUUGUAGCCUUAAAAUGAGUCCAAAACAGUUUUGUUGCUAAAAUAGCAAUAAAACACCAUUGCUGUCUGUCAAGAAUACAAGAAGAAAGAGCAGGUCCCACGAGACCAAGACACAAAUCAUGUUGCUAGAAAUUGAACAUUUUAAAUCCGGUUAUCAGGAGUUUAUGUGCUAAAAUUCCAAACUGUCCGAAGGCGGUGUCAGUGAAUCACGUGUUUGGACCCAGACGUCACCUUGGCCUGGCGGGUAUUUGAUUGGUGCUGAACAAAGGCUGCACUCACAAGGCGGGGUCCAGCGCUCUUAUUGGACCGUUCAAAAAAAAACCCCGCGACACUCCUCUAGUUUUAGACGCGCUUUUAAGAGAAUCGGUCUUUAUCACAAAGAACCCUCGUCAUGGUUCUUCCAGACUGUUUCAGAUGAGGACAACAAGUGUUUAGCGACCUUCAUUUAGGAAGAUGAACAUUUGUCUUCUGUUUUGGAUCCUUCUCCCAGCAGCAGAAUGCGGUUCCCAUUCUCUUGAGUUCUUGUCUACAGGACGUGUUCAGCCUGGAUCUGGGCUCCAUUUUGAACAAGUUACAGAGUUUGAUGGAGUUGUGAUCUCUCACUGUGACAGUGGGACACAACAAGAACACUUCAAACCCGUCCUGGAAUCCCACAACUUAACUGGGACCUGCAGAGCAGCAUGUUAUGAUGUUUUUGAUGCUCUCAAAGCGAUUUCUAAAUUCAUCAAUCACACACGGAAUGUUCAGCGGCGGCGUGGCUGCAUCACGUCAGACAAGAGGCUUGAAUCUGCUUUUGACAACUGGGCAGUGAAUGGAGAGGGUUUCAUUCAGUUUGAUGCUGGAGCUCAGAAAUGGAAAGCCCUGUCUCCUUCUGCAGAAAUGAUUAAAGAUUCGUGGAACGGCUAUGAGGCUCGGAACCAUUUGUUUGGACAAUUCAUCAGGAGAUACUGUCUAGAAAUGAUCCAUCAGAUCAAAUUAAAAGAAACGGAAAAAAGAACAGAUCUCCGUGUGUUUGCCAACCCUGUUAACAGAACCAAGGCAUUGCUGAAGUGCCACGUCACAAGUACUGACAAAUCAGUGCGUUCAGUGUCUCUGACUGAAGACGGGGCCCCCAAGGCAAACUGGAUCACUGUAACUGGCCCGUUGCCUUCUGGGGAUGGAUCAGUGAUCCUCAUCCUGACAGCUGAGGUCCCCCUGAUCCACACCAACAUCUAUGGCUGUGUUGUCCAAACAGAAGACAGAACCAUCACUGUCAUGUGGGAUGGAAACACACUUGAUGGACGACACAUCCUUUACAUCCAGAUGACGCUUUGGAGAAUUAUCGGCAUCAUCUUUACAGUUUGUUGUUUAAUCUCCGUAAUGACUCUUUUGUUCACAAGAGAGGAAAAAGUGAUGAGGAAACUUUUCUCACGAGUCCAUUGAAGAAUAACUGGGGGAAGAUGGAUUUUAUCCACGGAGGACUUGAGCAGAGACGACAUCAAUGAUCCAGGAUGUUUUACUCUUCAUGCUGAAAGUGCACGUCUAUAAAGUCACAUGUGCUGUAAUAUUUGGACUGUGUUGUCAUCCAGUAGCAGAGCUUUGGCAUUUAGCUACCAGGCCCCCCUGCUAUGGAACCAGCUCCCUGUCCAGGUACGGGAGGCUCCAUCGCUACUUUUAAGAUCAGACUUAAAACCUUCCUUUUUGAAAAAGCUUAUUGUUACUAAUUCUGCAGUUCCAGUUACUAUCAUAGACAGACAAAUUUUCAUACUUAGAGGGUCGUCGUCUAAUCAUUAGGUCACAUCUUAGCUGUGCUGCUAUAGGCCAAGGCUGCCGGGGUCCGGAAACAUGAUCACCUGACAGGCCUCUGUCACCCCACUGGGUCAUGGUUUCCUCUCCUCUCCUCUCCUCUCCUCUCCUCUCCUCCUCAUCAAGCAGACUAGUUAUGCUGAUUCUUGUGUAGUUUUUCUGCUCCCCCCCCACUAUUCAUUUACAGGUAUUGCCGCCUUCGGAGCUGUGUGAUGACCUCCGGCCCCGCUGACCCGUUGUAUAGUGUAUUUUUGUGUGUGUUUCUGAGCCUCUCCCCUCCCCUCCUCUUCUCCUCCCCCCCUCCCCCCCUCCUCUCUCUCUACCCAGCCCCCCAUCAGCAGGAGGGUCCCCCUACAUGACCCUGGUCCUGCUCAAGGUUUCUUCCUGUUAAAGGGGAGUUUUUCCUUGCCACUGUUGCUUGUCUGGGGUCAGGCCCUGGGAUUCUGGAAAGUGCCUUUAAACAAUUUUGAUUGUAAAAGACGCUAUAUAAAUAAAGAUUGAUUUGAUUUAUGCUGCUGACACGGGUCUAACCUUCACUGACUGUCAUCUGUUUUAAGAAGCCAAACUAUGGAAAGCUUGAGCACUUUGACCCGUCUUAUGUUAUGAAGUUCUUCCUAGAAGAAUUUAACAAAUUCAUGUGAAACUGGUCCACUAAUCUUGUGUGUAAAAUAAUAAACUGUUUAACAGUGUUUGUAAAAUAACUUGCAGAACUUGAUGUGUGAAAUCAUUAAGAGUUUCGCUUUUUUUCAUUAUUAAAUGUUUGUAAAUAUUGUAUGUUUUUACUUCCUGCAAUAAAUGAGUUUUAUUUUUGUUAAGAGCCUGUGUGAUAAUGUUUAUUUUCAUUUACAUGAGGGAAUGUCUGAUUAGGUGAGGUGGCUAACAUUGUCUCAUCACAGCAACAAGGUUGUGGGUUCCAAUCCCCUGGGAUCGCAGCUUUAUCAGUGCAGUUUGGAAGUUCUCCCAGGAUGUUUCACGAAAUGACCACUGACUCUUUUAGUUCAUUUGUGUUUUACCCAUUUUGAAAAUAAACAAACAACUUUAAUUUGGCCAGGUUUAGUUACAUAUUUGGUCUCAUAUUUUAGUCUUUUUCUGGUCAUUAAAGUACCGGUAAUGUCCUGCUGAAACACCAGUACUUUUCAUACAAAGAGAAUCCACACAGAAACCUCUGAAUGUAGAAGGUUUAGGGCAGAACACUGGCUGAACAGGUUCAGGGACACUGUUCUGUCAUCUGUCGCCUGCAGAAAUUAUUAAAGAUUUGUGGAACAACCGUGAGGCUCAGAACCAUUUGUUGGGACACUUCAUCAAGGAACACUGUGCAGAAAUUAUCCAACAGAUCAAAUUAAGAAGUUGAGAAAAGAACAGGUCAACACACACACACACACACACACACACACACACACACACACACACACACACACACACACACACACACACACACACACGUGGGGUAACAGAGAAUAACAACAGCAGCUUGUAAAGCCAAAUGAAGCUACAUCCUGUUUCGUUGUCAUGGUGACCUCCUGUCAGUGUUGAAUGUGCUGAUGGAGCUCAGAUGAGGACAGAAGCAGUUCAGUCUGGUAAAGGUAGCUGAAGGAGCCUGGUGUUGGUUAUGAGCUAAAACUAUGUUGAGAGGAAGAGUGAGCUGCUCAUCACUGCUGGUUCCCUGUUCAAAGAGUGACAACAGACAACCCUGAUCAUCACCUUUUCUGACCUUGGAAUGGUCAAAGUCUCAUCACAAACAGGCAAAAGUAAAAAAAAAAAAUAUCCCUGAAUUACAGGAACACGUGGAUAUUAUUUGUGUACAAGAGGCAUGACUCAAACCAAAUUUGGGUUUAUUAAGUUGAAAGAUAUUUUGGUGUGGAGAUUUUAAUGCACAUGGGGGGAUAUCAGGAAGACUCAAAGUAAUGGAAGACAUGUUAGAUGACAAAGGCAUGCUUGAAUACUGGUUUGGCCGUGAGGGUGAAAGUGGCAAAGGGCACCGAGCCAUCAAGAGAUCACACAUCGGCAUCACAGGUUUUAACAUGGAAAAGCAACUGGGAAGUGUUGAGAAGCAGCACAGUGGGUAGAGACCGUCAUCCAAUAGGUCUAGAAACUGAAAGCGUUAGGGGUCGGAACAAAGGAGGAGGAAGAUGGAAAUGUGAGGGAGCAAAUGGAUACGUUCAGAAUAUUUGCUGGGGCAAACUAAGGGCAGUUGGUGUAAACCAGAACUGAAUAAUGAAAUAUGUCAAUUUAUAAUUGAAGCAGCAAAUGCAACUAUUCCAAGAAGUAAAUAAAAUAAAUUUUAAAAAUGAAAAAAAACCCCUUAAACUCAAGACUUUAAUAAAUUAUAAGGAACAGCAGACAGCAGCUCGUUUUAGGAGCAGCAGACACACACAGGACCGAGUAGAUUGACCAGACUAAACUUUACUGAAAAGGUGGCAGCAGAAUCCCUCAAAGAACCAGAGCUAAUAAAGUCUUUGUCAGAGUAGGCUGGGUGGCACGAACAGACAUCUGAAUGGGCGAUCACAGAGGGCUGCACCACAAAGGGUGGAUAUAGAGGACCAGAAGGUGGCAGCUACAAUAUAGAUGCCAACUGUGGAAGUGGAAGAACAGCAACACCAACAAGACGAAGCCUGGUAGAUUUGUCUGGUUCCGAUCAGGACAAAAAGUAAUGAUGGGCAAAUUAAGCUUUUGUGAAUUCCCGAACCACUUGUAAUGAUUACUAGUAAUGAAACUGCAGUUCUAGCGCCCUCUACUGGCGACCCGCGAGCCUUGCACUGCAGGGUUGGAGCCGCUAUUGGUGACCGGGAGGCGCACACGUGA
ensembl:lncRNA